UACGUAGGUGGCAAGCGUUGUCCGGAAUUAUUGGGCGUAAAGAGCGCGUAGGCGGUCCGAUAAGUCGGCUGUGAAAGUCAAGGGCUCAACCCUUGGAAGCCGGCCGAUACUGUCGGACUAGAGUCCGGAAGAGGCGAGUGGAAUUCCCGGUGUAGCGGUGAAAUGCGCAGAUAUCGGGAGGAACACCAAUUGCGAAGGCAGCUCGCUGGGACGGUACUGACGCUGAGGCGCGAAAGCGUGGGGAGCAAACAGG
rnacentral:rRNA from 1 species